UCUUGAAUAAAAUGCAUACUAUACACUGUUACAAGCAAGCAUAUGUUUCUCUAUCAUUAUUUUGUCUAAAUCAUUUUUCAGUUAAUCAGUUUCUAUGCUUUGAGUGGUACUGACAAGACUGGGCUAGUUUAUUUCUGCUUACAUAGCCUACUUGGCCUGUCAGUGAGGUAUUCAGUGAACAAUAUAAAUGCUUUGGGAUUCUAGCAACAAUUUUUUUAAAGCCAAUAAGGCUUAUAUUGUCGCGGGUUGAAAUUUUGCAGGGUUGUUGAAAUCAAAUUUAGGGACUUUACUGACGGGACUCUGGGCUGGCUGCUCUGUUCACUCGUCAGCGCAAGUGGCGUGACCAUGUAAUUGGGGCACGGGGCCGGCGCGGCGCGCUGCGGGCUUGCAGAAUUUUGUUUGUUUGUUUGGCCGCGCGCUGGCGCAGCCACGGGCCGCAGUUACUGGGGCGCGCUGUCGUAACAAGCCGCGCGGUGUGGCCUGCACAUUGGGGUAGAGGGGGGGUAGUCUUCCCAGAUGUUCUAGUUAGUUGUUUAGUAAAUUUGACUUCAAUAACGAGCUUUUGUUAUGGUAGGCGCGGCAGGGCGCGCGAAUUUAAGCGCAAGUGAUUGGUGACUUCAGGCUCACUCAGGCGGAGGCUAUGCGUCUCACCUGUGGUCACGAGUUGUUAGUUCGUUCGUGAUGUAGGAAUUCAGGCUCACUCAGGCGGAGGCUAUGCGUCUCACCUGUGGUCACGAGUUGUUAGUUCGUUCGUGAUGUAGGAAUUCAGGCUCACUCAGGCGGAGGCUAUGCGUCUCACCUGUGGUCACGAGUUGUUAGUUCGUUCGUGAUGUAGGAAUUCAAGCUUUCGGGCGGAGGCUAUGGCCCUCGUCAGGGGUCACGCGUCAUAGUUUUUAAAAUGUAAUGUUCGUUCGGGAUUUCAAGGGCAGGAGAGGCCCCUACGUUAUUUUUUUAAAGUAAUCGAUCAAGAAAGGCUUUUCGGAAAAUGUGAGUAUGGACUUAUCUUUGUUUUAAUUUUAAGUAUUAAUUAUGAUUUGAGGUAUUCGGAAGGACUAGGGAAGUGUUUAGUGAAGUUCUCUCAUUCUCUCUCUUGUAAGGUCGUUCAAUCGUUAAGGAAGUAAAGAGAUUAUUGUUUUAAAUUGUAAUCCCGCUAUUUAAAUGUUCUUUAAAAUGAUGUUGAGUAUUUGACUUUAAGAAUAAAAUAAUUUUAAUUAAGUAUUAUGUUAUUUUGCAAAAUCUCCUUAGUUCAGCUCUCACCAGACAUCCUGUACGGGAUGACGAACCUAUGAUCCUAGGUACAGUAAAGUAUUUUAUGAAGUUAAGACUAGUUGAUGCCAAGCGAGUUGUUUCUAUGUAAAGAGCUACGAUUCUCGCCCCCCCUCUGAAGGUGGAUCGUGACAGAAAUGGCGGUGGCACCGGCUAGGUGCACGUGACAGAAAUGGUAGAGUUCGCCGGAUAGGUUCUAUUUCUGGAGAGAGAGAGAGGUAGAUUUUUAUGUUUAUUAUUAAGUUAGUUUCAGCUUCUGAUAGCAGGUUAUUAAGAGUUUACUUGAGGAGAGGAUUACGGAAUUUUAGUCUAUAGUGGAGGAAGUCUUUGAGAUUUUUUUUUUUGACGUAACAGAUGUUUAUUUGAGGAUACUUGUAAGGAUAAAGUUUAUAGUGAUAAGUUGUUUUAAGUCGUUGAAUUUAUUGUAGAUUUAUAUCGGGGAUUAUUACGUGAGGAGAAUACGUUAUAAGUUAAAUACUUAAUAAAGAUAAUGCAAGUGGUUUAGUUUUAUUAAAGUUAAUUUAAGAUUGUAGGUUAAGAGAAUUAUAAUUUAAAAUAAAGUUUUUUGUCGUAAAUAGGAAUUAUUUUCAAGAGAAGUUGGUUUUGUUUUCGUGCGCGUAGGAGACGAGACGUACGAAUUAAAUCAGUCGAGGGAAGGAUAAACGUUAGAAAGGAAUUAAAGAGAAAACGAGAGUUUAUGUAAAAGAGAGUUAUAGAAUUUAUAGUGAUGUUUUGUUUUAAUUAGAAAAAUGUUGAGAGUUGUUUCAGAACGACACGUCAGUGGACGUGGCAGAGUGAACACGUGACGGGGAGGUGCUGAGACCUAGCGGAGAACGGAGGAACCGCAAGCGAGGGUUGGCGCACCUGAUGGAAUUCGGUGACGUCACGAGCACGUACAGAGACGUGGACGGCCGUGACCUUGUUUUGAUCAGCUGUACGGUAACUUAGCGAUAAGAAAAUAGACUAUUGGUUAAAUAAAUUUAAAUUUAAGUGUGUUUUAGGAGAAGAGGAACUUUCAGUAUAUUCCUUAAGAUGAGCUGAGCAGCAGUCCAGUUUACAAGAUGACAAGAGUUCGAGAGACAAGAUACAAGAUCACUGAAACAAGAGCCAAGACUGAAGAUUCAAGAGAAGAGAAAGCUGGCAGCCAUGGACUUACAAGUGGAGAUUAAUAAGGUCAUGUAAAGUUUUAUUUUUUUUUAUGGAAGACAGUAACUGGAGUUUUUUUUUGUUAUAAACAUUAUUUACAGAACUUUUUAGGUUAUAGUAAUGUGAUGGAACUAGUGAGUUGUGGUAGCUGUCAAAAAGAACUAAUACCUUAAGUUUAAUUUUUAAAGUUAAUUUUCUUAAUUUACAGAGGGAUUAGUAGUUUUUUUUAAACCUUAUUUAGGUUGGAAUUUAAAUACAAUAGCUUAUUAUAAAUGUGUACGAACAGUUCAAGUUCACAGUACUGAUAGGUAGGUCAGAUGAUCUUAUUGAUUUUGAUGAUUUGUUGUUUUGAGUUGAUUUUUAAGUGUUGUGAAUUAGACAAUGAAAUAGUUCUGAAAACUUAAAUUAUUUCAAGCUAAGAAAUAGUAAAGUUAAUUGUAACUCAAAGGACACCAGAAUUUAAUUUUUUUUUGAAUUAGUAAUGUUUGAAAAUUUUAUACUUUACAAGAAAGGUUAUAAACAAACAGAUCGGAUGGAACAAGGAUGCAGUAAAUCACAAUUUCAUUUAGAAUUAUUGAUUAGCUUUUGAGGUUAUGAAGUAAAAGUAAUUAUAAUUUAAAAGUUUGAAUAAAAAAAUGUUUUUUUUAUUUGUUUGAAAUAGAAAAUUUAAAAGUUAAUUAGUCAUGAUCUAGGUGGGUGAUGGGGUGGGAAUUGGCCACUCUUUUUCCCUAUAACCUCCCUAACAUGGCCUUCUAUUACAACUAACAGAAAUAAAGAAGAAGAAAAAUGAA